CAAGGAGAACGUUUUCUUCGGAAAAUUAUUAAACUGGCGAACGGGUGAGUAACACGUAGGUAACCUGCCGUAAAGAUUGGGAUAACCCCGGGAAACCGGAGCUAAUACCGAAUAAGGCAUUAAAUUCGCAUGAAUUUUAUGUUAAAGUGGGCUUCGGCUCACACUUUAUGAUGGGCCUGCGUCCGAUUAGCUUGUUGGUAAGGUAAUGGCUUACCAAGGCAAUGAUCGGUAGCUGGUCUGAGAGGAUGAUCAGCCACACUGGGAUUGAGAUACGGCCCAGACUCCUACGGGAGGCAGCAGUAAGGAAUUUUGCACAAUGGACGAAAGUCUGAUGCAGCAACGCCGCGUGAUCGAUGAAGCUUCUAGGAGUGUAAAGAUCUGUCGUGAGGGAAGAAAAAUUUAGAUGUAAAUAAUAUUUAAACUUGACGGUACCUUACAAGAAAGCACCGGCUAACUUCGUGCCAGCAGCCGCGGUAAUACGAGGGGUGCUAGCGUUGUCCGGAAUAACUGGGCGUAAAGGGUCCGUAGGCGUUUUGCUAAGUUGAUCGUUAAAUCCAUCGGCUUAACCGAUGAUAUGCGAUCAAAACUGGCAGAAUAGAAUAUGUGAGGGGAAUGUGGAAUUCCUGGUGUAGCGGUGACAUGCGUAGAUAUCAGGAGGAACACCGAUGGCGAAGGCAGCAUUCUGGCACAAUAUUGACGCUGAGGGACGAAAGCGUGGGGAGCGAACAGGAUUAGAUACCCUGGUAGUCCACGCCGUAAACGAUGAGUACUUGGUGGUGGAGGAUUCGACCCCUUCACUAUCGGAGCUAACGCGU
rnacentral:rRNA from 1 species